GUGGAAUUACCCUGUGGAAACAAGAAUUUUUCAUUUUAGAGCAUUUUGAAUCGUUAGAAGAUUAAGUCAAAUAUCGGCAAUUUCAAAGGGCCAUUACUAUGAAAAGCAAAAUCAGAAUGACUUGAUAUUGAUAUGGUAUCACCGUGGGGUUGUAUACUGUUGAUCUAAAGUGGAAUUACCCUGUGGAAACAGCAAAAUUCUAUUUAAGAGCAUUUUGAAAUCACUGAAAGUUAGGUCAAUUAUGGACAAUUUGAAAGGGCUUUUAUUUUUGAAAGCAAAAUCAGAAUGUCUUGAUAUUGAUAUGGUAACAUCGUGAGGUUGUAUACUGUUGAUCUAAAGUGGAAUUACCCUGUGGAAACAGGAAUUUUCCAUUUUAGAGCAUUUUGAAAUCACUGAAAGGUAGGUCAAUUAUGGACAAUUUGAAAAGGCUUUAAUUUUUGAAAGCAAAAUCAGAAUGACUUGAUAUUGAUAUGGUAUCACUGUGAGGUUGUAUACUGUUGAUCUAAAGUGG
ensembl:lncRNA